ensembl:lncRNA
UCACAGCCCUAUUUCCUCUUAAGCUCAUUGCUCUGUUCACUCAGUCACUGCCCACCACUUGCUAACAUUAUGGCUAUGAAAUUCCCCAGGAAAGCAAACAAGGUCAGUGUGAGAACUACCACAAAAUCCUCUUCUCCAAAAAACGCCUGACUGAAUUAAAAUACUUCUUAAAAGUGUUCAGUGUGUUCCUCACUGAGGUUCAAAGAUGCGGGAACAGCAGUGCACUACCAAUAUUCAUUGAUGACCUUCUGCCACCACAGUGCUGAUCUAUGGGAGAAGAUUUACACCACGCCAAUGCACCCGCUUUCCAGUCAAUACCUGCACCCACACCAUGUACACCAUGAAGGAGCAAAAUGUGGGAAUUUUCUACCAUAAGGAGGAAGCAUUCUGGCCUUCCAGCCCCUUGCAAGUCCAUGAGUUUCUUCCAGAUCACAUCUGGUACAGUUUCAACAUUUUUUCAUCUGCAAACUACAUGUGGAAUGAGAACGAUAAUAAAGUUGCAGCUACAAGACUUGGGUUGAUAAUGAAGAAAACAGAACAGAAUCCAAGGAUGUGGAAUGGAAAGCAUUGUGACUUUGUUAGCCGAGUUUUUAUACUGACUUAGUUCCCAAAAGUUUAGAAGUUGGGCCUCAGCUUAAUCCAGCAGGAUUUAGGUCUUUUAUUAUUUUUACUUCGUUUUUGUAGGUUUUUACAACAUGGAGCUGCCACUCAAAUCUCUCAGCAGUUUGGAUAACUCACACAGGAAGGGUGAGCGGUGUUUUGUCUGCCAGAAAACAUCCCCUAUUCCCCUAACUUCAAAGAAGGCAGGACUGGCUCCUGAUGGUCUGCUUUGCUUCGCUGUCAGAAAACUGUUUUUCACAAGGUUAAAAUACUACUCUACAAAUUCUAUUUGCACAUGAUGAUAGUACAAGAGGGUUGGGUUUUCCAGUCAGGCUGAGCUGUGUUCAGCCCAGAGAAGACUUGAAAGGAAGUGUGGACACUGCCAUCCUAAUCCUGGGACCAUUAGGCUGUUCCUCAUUAGUCCCAUCUGCCUGUGGCCCCCAGGAUUUAUGGUUCACCAGAAGUGUGGGAUUUGGGCUAUCGCCCUUUCCUUAGGAAUGGAUACAAGAGUCAGGGUAAAGCUGUCUUCCAAGGUACAUGUGCUGCUGAACUGAUAGAAAAUAAUGUCAUAAUGUAUAAGAUAAUGUUAAAUGUUUCUCUCCUUAAAACACCCGUUUGUUUUGAUGUCUGAUGGAAACUUGUCAGUAGUUCAAGAAAUUGAUGUC